rnacentral:rRNA from 1 species
GUGGGGAAUAUUGGACAAUGGGCGAAAGCCUGAUCCAGCCAUGUCGCGUGUGUGAAGAAGGUCUUCGGAUUGUAAAGCACUUUAAGUUGGGAGGAAGGGCAGUAAGUUAAUACCUUGCUGUUUUGACGUUACCGACAGAAUAAGCACCGGCUAACUUCGUGCCAGCAGCCGCGGUAAUACGAAGGGUGCAAGCGUUAAUCGGAAUUACUGGGCGUAAAGCGCGCGUAGGUGGUUUUGUAAGUUGGAGGUGAAAUCCCCGGGCUCAACCUGGGAACUGCCUCCAAAACUGCAUGACUAGAGUACGGUAGAGGGUAGUGGAAUUUCCUGUGUAGCGGUGAAAUGCGUAGAUAUAGGAAGGAACACCAGUGGCGAAGGCGACUACCUGGACUGAUACUGACACUGAGGUGCGAAAGCGUGGGGAGCAAACAGGAUUAGAAACCCGAGUAGUCC